rnacentral:rRNA from 1 species
CGCGUAGGCGGUUCUGUAAGUAGGAUGUGCAAUCCCCGAGCUCAACUUGGGAACUGCAUCCUAGACUGCAAGACUAGAGUGCUGGAGAGGGUGGUAGAAUUCCACGUGUAGCGGUGAAAUGCGUAGAGAUGUGGAGGAAUACCAGUGGCGAAGGCGGCCACCUGGACAGUAACUGACGCUGAGGCGCGAAAGUGUGGGUAGCAAACAGGAUUAGAUACCCUGGUAGUCCACGCUGUAAACGAUGAACACUUGGUGUGGCGGGAGUUGACCCCUGCCGUGCCGGAGCUAACGCGUUAAGUGUUCCGCCUGGGGAUACGGUCGCAAGGCUGAA